rnacentral:rRNA from 1 species
CACGUAGGGGCCAAGCGUUGUCCGGAUUUAUUGGGCGUAAAGAGCUCGUAGGCGGUUCGACAAGUCGGGUGUGAAAACUCCGGGCUCAACCCGGAGACGCCACCCGAUACUGUCGUGACUGGAGUCCGGUAGGGGAGUGGGGAAUUCCUGGUGUAGCGGUGAAAUGCGCAGAUAUCAGGAAGAACACCCGUGGCGAAGGCGGCUCUCUGGUACGUGACUGACGCUGAGACGCGAAAGCGUGGGGAGCAAACAGG